rnacentral:rRNA from 1 species
UACGUAGGGUGCGAGCGUUGUCCGGAAUUAUUGGGCGUAAAGAGCUCGUAGGCGGCUCGUCGCGUCGACUGUGAAAACCUGGGGCUUAACCCUGGGCCUGCAGUCGAUACGGGCGGACUAGAGUGUGGUAGGGGAGACUGGAAUUCCUGGUGUAGCGGUGGAAUGCGCAGAUAUCAGGAGGAACACCGAUGGCGAAGGCAGGUCUCUGGGCCAUUACUGACACUGAGAAGCGAAAGCAUGGGGAGCGAACAGG